rnacentral:ribozyme from 1 species
UGCCCAGCAACUUCUUUCCCUACCUCUUCGCGUUACUGGCCAGGGUAUAAGCAACCUUAGGAGCAACCUUAGGGUAACCAACCCCGGUGGGAACUUUGGUCGUAUGCUGACAGGGAAGG